rnacentral:rRNA from 1 species
UACGUAGGGGGCGAGCGUUGUCCGAAGUUACUGGGCGUAAAGCGCGCGUAGGCGGGUUGGCAAGUCUGCUGUGAAAGCCCGGGGCUUAACUCCGGAGGGUCGUGGCAAACCGGCGGGCUUGAGGCCGGUAGAGGUGGGUGGAACUCCUGGUGGAGUGGUGAAAUGCGUAGAGAUCAGGAAGAACACCCGUGGCGAAGGCGGCCCACUGGGCCGGUACUGACGCUGAGGCGCGAAGGCGUGGGGAGCGAACGGG